rnacentral:misc_RNA from 1 species
CGCACAUUGCGCCCCUUGGUAUUCCAUUGGGCAUGCCUGUUCGAGCGUCAUCCAACCCCUCAAGCCCUGCUUGGUGUUGGGCGUCUGUCCGCGCCUCUGGCGUCGACUCGCCCCAAAGACAUUGGCAGCGGUUCGCCGGCUUCUCGCGCAGCAUCUCGCGCUUCCCGAGGCUUCGGCGGGCUCGCGUCCAUCAAGAUCGCCUUCCGUUUGACCUCGAAUCAGGUAGGGAUACCCGCUGAACUUAA